rnacentral:rRNA from 1 species
AUUGAACGCUAGCGGCAUGCCUAACACAUGCAAGUCGAACGGCGUGGCGAACGGGUGAGUACUGUCUCGGAACGUGCCCAGUAGCGGGGGAUAACUACGCGAAAGCGUAGCUAAUACCGCAUACUAUUGGAGCGGCCUAGGUGGGAUUAGCUAGUUGGUGGGGUAACGGCUUACCAAGGCGACGAUCCAUAGCUGGUCUGAGAGGACGAUCAGCCACACUGGGACUGAGACACGGCCCAGACUCCUACGGGAGGCAGCAGUGGGGAAUUUUGGACAAUGGGCGAAAGCCUGAUCCAGCCAUGCCGCGUGUGUGAAGAAGGUCUUCGGGUUGUAAAGCACUUUUGGUAGGGAAGCGGUACCUACAGAAUAAGCACCGGCUAACUACGUGCCAGCAGCCGCGGUAAUUC